rnacentral:rRNA from 1 species
AAAACUUUCAACAACGGAUCUCUUGGUUCUGGCAUCGAUGAAGAACGCAGCGAAAUGCGAUAAGUAAUGUGAAUUGCAGAAUUCAGUGAAUCAUCGAAUCUUUGAACGCACAUUGCGCCCGCCAGUAUUCUGGCGGGCAUGCCUGUCCGAGCGUCAUUUCAACCCUCG